GACGAACGCUGGCGGCGUGCUUAACACAUGCAAGUCGAACGGAAAGGCCUGCUUUCCCUUGUGGAUUGCGGGUACUCGAGUGGCGAACGGGUGAGUAACACGUGAGUGAUCUGCCCCCAACUUGGGUAUAAGCAUGGGUAACUGUGUCUAAUUCCCGCUUGGACUGCAGGGUUUUGCCUUUGGUGGUAAACUAUCUUCUAGUAGUUGGGGAUGCGCUCGCUGUCUAUUAGCUUGUUGGUGGGGUGAUGGCCUACGAAGGCGGCGAUGGGUAGCCGGGCUGGGAGGAUGAUCAGCCACCCUGGGACUGAGACACGGCCCAGACUCCUACGGGAGGCAGCAGUGGGGAAUAUUGGACAAUGGGCGAAAGCCUGAUCCAGCAAUGCCGCGUGAGUGAGGAAGGCCUUAGGGUUGUAAAGCUCUUUUACCCGGGAUGAUAAUGACAGUACCGGGAGAAUAAGCUCCGGCUAACUCCGUG
rnacentral:rRNA from 1 species